rnacentral:rRNA from 1 species
UGCAAGUCGAGCGAAUGGAUUAAGAGCUUGCUCUUAUGAAGUUAGCGGCGGACGGGUGAGUAACACGUGGGUAACCUGCCCAUAAGACUGGGAUAACUCCGGGAAACCGGGGCUAAUACCGGAUAAUAUUUUGAACUGCAUGGUUCGAAAUUGAAAGGCGGCUUCGGCUGUCACUUAUGGAUGGACCCGCGUCGCAUUAGCUAGUUGGUGAGGUAACGGCUCACCAAGGCAACGAUGCGUAGCCGACCUGAGAGGGUGAUCGGCCACACUGGGACUGAGACACGGCCCAGACUCCUACGGGAGGCAGCAGUAGGGAAUCUUCCGCAAUGGACGAAAGUCUGACGGAGCAACGCCGCGUGAGUGAUGAAGGCUUUCGGGUCGUAAAACUCUGUUGUUAGGGAAGAACAAGUGCUAGUUGAAUAAGCUGGCACCUUGACGGUACCUAACCAGAAAGCCACGGCUAACUACGUGCCAGCAGCCGCGGUAAUACGUAGGUGGCAAGCGUUAUCCGGAAUUAUUGGGCGUAAAGCGCGCGCAGGUGGUUUCUUAAGUCUGAUGUGAAAGCCCACGGCUCAACCGUGGAGGGUCAUUGGAAACUGGGAGACUUGAGUGCAGAAGAGGAAAGUGGAAUUCCAUGUGUAGCGGUGAAAUGCGUAGAGAUAUGGAGGAACACCAGUGGCGAAGGCGA